rnacentral:rRNA from 1 species
AUGGCUCAGGAUGAACGCUGGCGGCGUGCCUAACACAUGCAAGUCGAACGAAGCAUACGGACUGGAGAUUCGUCGAAGGACCGUAUGACUUAGUGGCGGACGGGUGAGUAAUGUAUGAGCAACCUGCCUUUCAGAGGGGGACAACAGUUGGAAACGACUGCUAAUACCGCGUAACGUAUCGUGAGGGCAUCCUCGUGAUACCAAAGGAGCAAUCCGCUGAAAGAUGGGCUCAUAUCUGAUUAGCUUGUUGGCGGGGUAACGGCCCACCAAGGCGACGAUCAGUAGCCGGACUGAGAGGUUGAACGGCCACAUUGGGACUGAGAUACGGCCCAGACUCCUACGGGAGGCAGCAGUGGGGAAUAUUGGGCAAUGGGCGAAAGCCUCGACCCAGCAACGCCGCGUGAAGGAAGGAGGUCUUCGGAUUGUAAACUUCUUUUAUGAGGGACGAAGGACGUGACGGUACCUCAUGAAUAAGCCACGGCUAACUACGUGCCAGCCGCCGC